rnacentral:rRNA from 1 species
CCUACGGGAGGCAGCAGUGAGGAAUAUUGGUCAAUGGGCGCAAGACUGAACCAGCCAAGUAGCGUGAAGGAUGACUGCCCUACGGGUUGUAAACUGCUUUUAUGAAGGAAUAAAAUGCGUCACGUGUGCCGUUUUGUAUGUACUUCAUGAAUAAGGAUCGGCUAAUUCCGUGCCAGCAGCCGCGGUAAUACGGAGGGUCCGAGCGUUAUCCGGAUUUAUUGGGUUUAAAGGGAGCGUAGGCCGGUUGUUAAGUGUGUUGUGAAAGUUUGUGGCUCAACCGUAACAGUGCAAUUGGUACUGGCAGUCUUGAGUGCAGGUGAGGUAGGCGGAAUUCGUGGUGUAGCGGUGAAAUGCUUAGAUAUCACGAAGAACUCCGAUUGCGAAGGCAGCUUACGAAACCGCUACUGACAUUGAUGCUCGAAGGUGUGGGUAUCAAACAGGAUUAGAUACCCUUGUAGUC